rnacentral:rRNA from 1 species
AUUGAACGCUGGCGGCAGGCCUAACACAUGCAAGUCGAGCGGAUGACGGGAGCUUGCUCCUUGAUUCAGCGGCGGACGGGUGAGUAAUGCCUAGGAAUCUGCCUGGUAGUGGGGGACAACGUUUCGAAAGGAACGCUAAUACCGCAUACGUCCUAUGGGAGAAAGCAGGGGACCUUCGGGCCUUGCGCUAUCAGAUGAGCCUAGGUCGGAUUAGCUAGUUGGUGGGGUAAUGGCUCACCAAGGCGACGAUCCGUAACUGGUCUGAGAGGAUGAUCAGUCACACUGGAACUGAGACACGGUCCAGACUCCUACGGGAGGCAGCAGUGGGGAAUAUUGGACAAUGGGCGAAAGCCUGAUUCAGCCAUGCCGCGUGUGUGAAGAAGGUCUUCGGAUUGUAAAGCACUUUAAGUUGGGAGGAAGGGCAGUAAGUUAAUACCUUGCUGUUUUGACGUUACCGACAGAAUAAGCACCGGCUAACUCUGUGCCAGCCGCCGCCGUAA